rnacentral:rRNA from 1 species
GAUGAACGCUGGCGGCGUGCCUAAUACAUGCAAGUCGAGCGAACGGACGAGAAGCUUGCUUCUCUGAUGUUAGCGGCGGACGGGUGAGUAACACGUGGAUAACCUACCUAUAAGACUGGGAUAACUUCGGGAAACCGGAGCUAAUACCGGAUGAUAUUUUGAACCGCAUGGUUCAAAAGUGAAAGACGGUCUUGCUGUCACUUAUAGAUGGAUCCGCGCUGCAUUAGCUAGUUGGUAAGGUAACGGCUUACCAAGGCAACGAUGCAUAGCCGACCUGAGAGGGUGAUCGGCCACACUGGAACUGAGACACGGUCCAGACUCCUACGGGAGGCAGCAGUAGGGAAUCUUCCGCAAUGGGCGAAAGCCUGACGGAGCAACGCCGCGUGAGUGAUGAAGGUCUUCGGAUCGUAAAACUCUGUUAUUAGGGAAGAACAGAUGUGUAAGUAACUGUGCACAUCUGGACGGUACCUAAGCAGAAAACCACGGCUAACUACGU